rnacentral:tRNA from 1 species
GCCCGUGUAGCUCAGUUGGUAGAGCAGGUGACUCUUAAUCACUUGGCCGAGGGUUCGAAUCCUUCCGCGGGCACAA